rnacentral:misc_RNA from 1 species
AACUUUCAGCAAUGGAUCGACAGCGACGCGGAACCGUGGAUCCUCGAAGUGGCCAAGCCGCGGCCUGUCGUCACCCUGCUCGACGAGAUGGAGGCGAUGCGCAGCUAUCUGCGCAAGGCGCGCCGUGAAGAUCGGGCUUACCUGCGCUUCUUCACGUUUCGGCACCUGCACAACCUUCCGCCGAACGUGGUUUCCGAUGCAUCGUUGCGGAUGUAUCGCGCCGCCUUGUCCAAGCUGAUCAACAGCCUGAGCUGGAAGCACGGCAUCGUCCUGCCGGCGCCGGUGGACCCCGCCCACACGGUAUUCGCUGUCGAUAUUCGCAGGCUUGACUGGGAUCGCAAUCGCCUGUGGAUGGAUAUAUUUAAGCAUAUCAAUAAGCGGAGGCU